GCGCCAGUAGUCUAGUCUGGCAGGACGUGAGCUUCCCAAGCUCGCGACCCGGGUUCAAAUCCCGGCUGGCGCA
rnacentral:tRNA from 1 species